ACUCCUACGGGAGGCAGCAGUGGGGAAUUUUGGACAAUGGGCGAAAGCCUGAUCCAGCAAUGCCGCGUGUGUGAAGAAGGCCUUCGGGUUGUAAAGCACUUUUGUCCGGAAAGAAAUCCUUGGCUCUAAUACAGUCGGGGGAUGACGGUACCGGAAGAAUAAGCACCGGCUAACUACGUGCCAGCAGCCGCGGUAAUACGUAGGGUGCGAGCGUUAAUCGGAAUUACUGGGCGUAAAGCGUGCGCAGGCGGUUUGCUAAGACCGAUGUGAAAUCCCCGGGCUCAACCUGGGAACUGCAUUGGUGACUGGCAGGCUAGAGUAUGGCAGAGGGGGGUAGAAUUCCACGUGUAGCAGUGAAAUGCGUAGAGAUGUGGAGGAAUACCGAUGGCGAAGGCAGCCCCCUGGGCCAAUACUGACGCUCAUGCACGAAAGCGUGGGGAGCAAACAGGAUUAGAAACCCCUGUAGUCCCAUGAU
rnacentral:rRNA from 1 species